GAANUGCGGAAGGAUCAUUA
rnacentral:rRNA from 1 species